UACGUAGGGACCAAGCGUUGUUCGGAUUUACUGGGCGUAAAGGGCGCGUAGGCGGCGUGGUAAGUCACUUGUGAAAUCUCUGAGCUUAACUCAGGACGGCCAAGUGAUACUGCUGUGCUAGAGUGCAGAAGGGGCAAUCGGAAUUCUUGGUGUAGCGGUGAAAUGCGUAGAUAUCAAGAGGAACACCUGAGGUGAAGGCGGCUUUCUGGCCUGUAACUGACGCUGAGGCGCGAAGGCUGGGGUAGCGAACAGG
rnacentral:rRNA from 1 species